CGACCGGCGCACGGGUGAGUAACACGUAUGCGACCUGCCCCCCGCAGGGGGAUAACCGGGAGAAAUCCCGACUAAUACCGCGUAACGCCGCGGACCUGCAUGGCCCUGCGGCCAAAGGGAGCGAUUCCGGCAACGGAUGGGCAUGCGUGACAUUAGCUAGUUGGCGGGGCAACGGCCCACCAAGGCGACGAUGUCUAGGGGUUCUGAGAGGAAGGUCCCCCACACUGGUACUGAGACACGGACCAGACUCCUACGGAAGGCAGCAG
rnacentral:rRNA from 1 species